rnacentral:tRNA from 1 species
GGGCACAGCUCAGUGGUAGAGCAUGUGCUUAGCAUGCACGAGGUCCUGGGUUCAGUCCCCAGUACGUCCA